rnacentral:rRNA from 1 species
GACGAACGCUGGCGGCGUGCUUAACACAUGCAAGUCGAACGGAAAGGCCCUGCUUUUGUGGGGUGCUCGAGUGGCGAACGGGUGAGUAACACGUGAGUAACCUGCCCUUGACUUUGGGAUAACUUCAGGAAACUGGGGCUAAUACCGGAUAGGAUCUCCUGCUGCAUGGUGGGGGUUGGAAAGUUUCGGCGGUUGGGGAUGGACUCGCGGCUUAUCAGCUUGUUGGUGGGGUAGUGGCUUACCAAGGCUUUGACGGGUAGCCGGCCUGUGAGGGUGACCGGCAACAUUGGGACUGAGAUACGGCCCAGAGUCCAACGGGAGGCAGCAGUGGGGAAUAUUGCACAAUGGGCGGAAGCCUGAUGAAGAAACGCCGCGUGCGGGAUGACGGCCUUCGGGUUGUAAACCGCUUUCGCCUGUGACGAAGCGUGAGUGACGGUAAUGGGUAAAGAAGCACCGGCUAACUACGUG